CAGCCGUAAACAAUGUGCGUUAGGUGUGUCGGUAACCACGCGUUACUGAUGCGCCGAAGAGAAAUCGUGAAACGCACCACCUGGGAAGUACGGUCGCAAGGCUGAAACUUAAAGGGAAUUGGCGGGGGUGCACCACAACAGGUGGAGCCUGCGGUUUAAUUGGAUUCAACGCCGGACAUCUCACCGGAUAAGACAGCUGAAUGAUUGUCAAUCUGAAGGUUUUACAUGACUAGCUGAGAGGUGGUGCAUGGC
rnacentral:rRNA from 1 species